rnacentral:rRNA from 1 species
UACGUAGGGUGCGAGCGUUGUCCGGAAUUAUUGGGCGUAAAGGGCUCGUAGGCGGUCUGUUGCGUCGGGAGUGAAAACUCAGGGCUUAACCCUGAGCCUGCUUCCGAUACGGGCAGACUAGAGGUAUGCAGGGGAGAACGGAAUUCCUGGCGUAGCGGUGAAAUGCGCAGAUAUCAGGAGGAACACCGGUGGCGAAGGCGGUUCUCUGGGCAUUACCUGACGCUGAGGAGCGAAAGUGUGGGGAGCGAACAGG